GGCCGGCUGGCGUAAUGGUAACGCGUCCGUUUCCGGCUCCUCUACCGGAUUCAUCCAAUGAACCCAUUCAGUUUGUGAGUUCAGAAUUUGCGGAAGAUUUGCAGGUUCGAGUCCUGCGUCGGUCG
rfam:Paracoccidioides brasiliensis Pb18 unplaced genomic scaffold supercont2.2, whole genome shotgun sequence.